GCAUAUCAAUAAGCGGAGGAAAAGAAACCAACCGGGAUUGCCUCAGUAACGGCGAGUGAAGCGGCAAGAGCUCAAAUUUGAAAUCUGGCCCCCUCGGGGUCCGAGUUGUAAUUUGCAGAGGAUGCUUCGGGUGCGGCCCCCGUCUAAGUGCCCUGGAACGGGCCGUCAUAGAGGGUGAGAAUCCCGUCUGGGACGGGGUGUCCGUGCCCGUGUGAAGCUCCUUCGACGAGUCGAGUUGUUUGGGAAUGCAGCUCUAAAUGGGUGGUAAAUUUCAUCUAAAGCUAAAUACUGGCCGGAGACCGAUAGCGCACAAGUAGAGUGAUCGAAAGAUGAAAAGCACUUUGAAAAGAGAGUUAAAUAGCACGUGAAAUUGUUGAAAGGGAAGCGCUUGCGACCAGACUCGCCCGCGGGGUUCAGCCGGCAUUCGUGCCGGUGUACUUCCCCGUGGGCGGGCCAGCGUCGGUUUGGGCGGCCGGUCAAAGGCCCCCGGAAUGUAGUGCCCUUCGGGGCACCUUAUAGCCGGGGGUGCAAUGCGGCCAGCCUGGACCGAGGAACGCGCUUCGGCACGGACGCUGGCAUAAUGGUUGCAAACGACCCGUCUUGAAACACGGACCAAGGAGUCUAACAUCUACGCGAGUGUUCGGGUGUCAAACCCGUGCGCGCAGUGAAAGCGAACGGAGGUGGGAGCCCCCUGAGGGGCGCACCAUCGACCGAUCCUGAUGUCUUCGGAUGGAUUUGAGUAAGAGCGUAAAUGUGGGGACCCGAAAGAUGGUGAACUAUGCCUGAAUAGGGCGAAGCCAGAGGAAACUCUGGUGGAGGCUCGCAGCGGUUCUGACGUGCAAAUCGAUCGUCAAAUUUGGGUAUAGGGGCGAAAGACUAAUCGAACCAUCUGGUAGCUGGUUCCUGCCGAA
rnacentral:rRNA from 1 species